rnacentral:lncRNA from 1 species
CAGGGUCUAUCCACCACUGCAUGCUGGAGUGAACAACAUAACAGUGAGAGAGAGAACUGCUACCUACCGUGCAGAGGCGGAAGGACCUCGCUUCUAGUCACAGAGCCAAUAAGUGACAGAACCAAGACUCGAGUCUGGCUCUCCAUGCCUCGACGUGAUAGGAAUGUGAACUACCAAGGAGUAAACACUUAUGCAUAAGAAGGAAUUGAGCUGGCUAGGUUCUGAAUGCAUGCAGAGUUGAAUAACAUGAAAACAGCCAAAGAAAAAUCAUCAUGCAAGGAAAAUACAAUUGGAAUGCCAAAGCAAUCCCGGAGCUGUCUAACAUGCUAGCUUUUACCUGCUGUUCCGUAAGUUAGCUUUUGAAAAAAAAAAUUCACAUCAAUCCAUGUUCAUCAUUAAAAUUUUUAAAAAAGAUUUUGACGUUGUGUUGGCAAAUGCAAUGAGAUAUUCUUACAACGCAACUGUACUCAAAAGAAAUUAAAAUACAUCUCCAAUUUUCAA